CACCCAUUCUCCCUACUAAUCCGCCCCAUCAAACCCCAUCUCGACCGUUAAAUCACCCUCCUUGGAGCUCUAGAACCUAUUGGAGGAAGGAGGAGUUCAAGAUCUAGAGGUGAUGUUAGGUUGUAGCAGCGUGGAGCUUGGAGCAUGUAGCUGACUUCUGGAGUUUUGAUUUUGACAUAUGUAUUUCCCUUUUAGCAUUGUAUUUAAAUGUUUAUAUUAGUGGAUAUGUGAUGAUGAUAUUGCCUUUG